AUGCUGCUCUCGGUUCCCACAGGAGCAGGAAUGGGCACCAUGACCACUGAAGAGUGCAGUGGACCGCCUCCAGGUCUCUGCCCACGACGCUGGGGCCUUCCUGGGCUGCCGACUUUCUGCAGAAGCGUCAGCAUGAUCAAGCUCUCUCCUUGCUCUCUGGCACAGAGGCUAUGGGAUGUGGUGCCCAAAGGAGGAACCAGGAGGAUCUGCAAACCCUGGAGUCUGCUCGGUAGCCCAGAGAUGGGCUGUGUGCAGGUUGUGCCCAGGAGGAGGAAGCAAACACUUUCUGGAGAGCAGCAUCAGAGGACUCCACAGAGGACAGGGCUGGUGGAGGGCACAGUCCAGGAGAGCUGUGGAAAUCAGUCAGAAUCCUACAACAGGCGGGAACCUUGGGAGUCCUUUAGUCCAGGCACAGCAGUCAGGAGGCUUGCCUUUGAGCCAGGUCAGGUGGAGAGAGAUGAUGUGAACUUAUCCUAUCCCCAUCUCCCUACUGAAGCCCCAUUGAGGUGUCUUUGGGUCCACUGCCUAAUUUGCCACAUGGAGAGAGGGUCAUGGUCCUGUCUGCCAGGGACACAGGUCCAACACUCAGAGGCAACACAUGGGGAUUUCCCUGGUGAUCCAGGGGCUAAGACUUAGAGCUCCGAAUGCAGGGGCCCAGGUUCAAUUCCUGUUCAGAGGACUAGAUCCCAC
rnacentral:lncRNA from 1 species